rnacentral:rRNA from 1 species
GUGCCAGCCGCCGCGGUAAUACGUAGGGCGCAAGCGUUGUCCGGAAUCAUUGGGCGUAAAGAGCUCGUAGGUGGUCUGUUACGUCUGCUGUGAAAACCUAGGGCUUAACCCUGGGCCUGCAGUGGAUACGGGCAGACUAGAGGUAGGUAGGGGAGAAUGGAAUUCCCGGUGUAGCGGUGAAAUGCGCAGAUAUCGGGAGGAACACCGGUGGCGAAGGCGGUUCUCUGGGCCUUACCUGACACUGAGGAGCGAAAGCGUGGGGAGCGAACAGGAUUAGAAACCCGCGUAGUCC